AACAACAUCACUUUUAAAAGGAGGAAGACAGGCAAAUCUGGGACCACGUGGUCAGAGACAGAAAGCUACACUGAUGUCUGACACAGCAGUAAAUCUGUUGAGUGAAUCCUUUUCUGUUUGAGUAUUCAAGUAUCUCUGGACAUCGGAAUGCGUCGAACAAAAAUUAACAAACAGCGAAAUUGACAGCUGACCUUGGAGGGACUUGUUUGGGAGAGCUGACAGCAUGGGAGAAGCAAAAGUGCACAGUACUUCAGUGUAACCUUGCUGAAAAUCUACAGUGUGGAUGGUAAACUGGAUCCAAGUCAAUUUGUUUGUUGAUAAAGUUCCGAUUGGAGUGCCAUGCUUCUAGGAAUGCUCACACGUGUCCCUGUUUGGCUUGUCCUAGGAUGGAAGUGUUGUACCUGUCGAAGUGGUGUCCUAUCUCAUCUGUCCAUUAGCCUUCCAGGACCAUACACUAUCAGAGCAAGGGGAUGUGAUGGAUAGCAGUUAUAAGAAGGGGGGAAAAGUCGCAGAUACAGUCCCACAGAUGGGUUAACUCCAGGAAAGGUAACAGAGGACAGUAACCUGCAAGUGUUUCAAUCUGCUGGGCUUUUAUUGGAAACAAAUCUACUCAGAUCUGUCCAAACCUCAGACUGGAUCUGCCUUACCCUGUCCAAAUCGCAAAUGCCGGAAGAAACAUCAAAGCAGCGCUUCACAGGAGGCUCCAAUAGCACUGAUGAUGUUCCCUAGCCAGG